rnacentral:rRNA from 1 species
AGAAUCAACGCUGGCGGCGUGCCUAACACAUGCAAGUCGAACGAGAAAGUGGAGCAAUCCAUGAGUAAAGUGGCGCACGGGUGAGUAACACGUGACUAACCUACCCUUGAGUGGGGGAUAACCUAGGGAAACCUGGGCUAAUACCGCAUAAUACCGAGAGGUCAAAGGAGCAAUUCGCUUAAGGAGGGGGUCGCGGCCGAUUAGUUAGUUGGCGGGGUAAUGGCCCACCAAGACUGUGAUCGGUA